AUUGAACGCUGGCGGCAGGCCUAACACAUGCAAGUCGAGCGAGCGGCUGACGCGUGUGUAAUGUCUGGGAAACUGCCUCAUGUAGGGGGCUAACUACUGGAAACGGUAGCUAAUACCGCAUCCCAUCAGAUGUGCCCAGAUGGGAUGAGCUCUUGUGUGGGGUAACGGCUCACCCAUGCUACGAUCCCUAGCUGGUCUGAGAGGAGGACCAGCCACACUGGAACUGAGACACGGUCCAGACUCCUACGGGAGGCAGCAGUGGGGAAUAUUGCACAAUGGGCGCAAGCCUGAUGCAGCCAUGCCGCGUGUGUGAAGAAGGCCUUCGGGUGGUAAAGCACUUUCAGCGGGGAGGCGUUACCCGCAGAAGAAGCACCGGCUAACUCCGUGCCAGCAGCCGCGGUAAUAC
rnacentral:rRNA from 1 species